rnacentral:rRNA from 1 species
CGGAGGGAUCAUUAAAGAGUUCUAUAACUCCCAAACCCAUGUGAACAUACCUAACGUUGCCUCGGCAGGUCGCACCUACCUUGUAGCACCCUACCCUGUAGGGCCUACCCGGGAGGUGCGGGUAAGCCUGCCGGCGGCCCACCAAACUCUGUUUGAUAUUGAAUUCUGAACCUAUAACUAAAUAAGUUAAAACUUUCAACAACGGAUCUCUUGGUUCUGGCAUCGAUGAAGAACGCAGCGAAAUGCGAUAAGUAAUGUGAAUUGCAGAAUUCAGUGAAUCAUCGAAUCUUUGAACGCAUAUUGCGCCCAUUAGUAUUCUAGUGGGCAGGACCGUUCGAGCGUCAUUUCAACCCUUAAGCCUUCGUCGCUUAGUGUUGGGAGCCUACGGCAACGUAGCUCCUCAAAGUUAGUGGCGGAGUUGGUUCACACUCUAGACGUAGUAAUUUUUUAUCUCGCCUAUUAGUUGGACUAAUCCCCUGCCGUAAAACCCCCAAUUUAUAUCAAGGUUGACCUCGAAUCGGUUCAGACAAACUCGCUAAAUUGAAGCAUCUUAGUCAGCGAAGGAAAAGAAACCAACAGGGAUUGCCCUAGUAACGGCGAGUGAAGCGGCAGCAG